rnacentral:rRNA from 1 species
GACGAACGCUGGCGGCGUGCUUAACACAUGCAAGUCGAACGGGCCCGUCCUUGUUUUUGGGGGCGGGUUGAGUGGCGAACGGGUGAGUAUCACGUGAGUAACCUGCCCUCCUCUCCUGGAUAACCGCUUGAAAGGGCGGCUAAUACGGGGUGGUCCGGUUGGUCCGCAUGGGCCGGCUGGGAUAGUUUCAUCUUCGGGUGUUUCGGUGGGGGAUGGGCUCGCGGCCUAUCAGCUUGUUGGUGGGGUGAUGGCCCACCAAGGCGGUGACGGGUAGCCGGCCUGAGAGGGUGGGCGGCCACACUGGGACUGAGACACGGCCCAGACUCCUCGGGAGGCAGCAGUGGGGGGUAUUGCACAAUGGGCGGAAGCCUGAUGCAGCGACGUCGCGUGAGGGAUGGAGGCCUUCGGGUUGUGAACCUCUGUUUCCGGUGGUGAAGGCCCCGCC